rnacentral:lncRNA from 1 species
AUGACAAUGUAUUGUCAAUUACUAUUAGUUGCAAACACCAAAGUUGUUUUUAAAACAAGACGAAAACUUGAACAUGACAAUGUAUUGUCAAUUAUUAUUAGUUGCAAACACAAAAGACUAGCUAAUGUCAUAAGGCUGCUCAUCAUUCUAGUGCUCGUUUGGCCCAAAGAUGUGCAACAAGAUCCUCUUGUAGGUUGUUGUUUGAGGUACGCAAGCAUAUCGACCUGUUGGGACGUUUCCUCACACACUCAGGAUAUGGUGAUUGCCGCCAUAAGGUCCUUUUUGCUCCUCUGGGUAUCAUCUUCUUCGUCCUUUUCCAUCAGUUGGUGUCUCCACUCCUCUCAUUGGUCUUCCAAUUCGGAAUUGGAAGACCAACCACAAUUGAAAUCCAUUGUAGAAUUGAAUUAG